AUAUAACUAAGCGGAGGAAAAGAAACUAACUAGGAUUCUUUUAGUAACGGCGAGUGAACAAGGAACAGCCCAUCACCGAAUCCUUGUUGGCUUCCAAUUAAGGAGUUGUGGUGUAAAGGAUAGUCUUUACUAGAGUAUUUUUGAUCCGAGUUCUCUUGAAUGGGGCUUUCCCAUAGCGGGUGUCAGGCCUCUAGGGUUAAAAAAUACUUUAGUUUUGGUUGUCCCGAGAGUCGGGUUGCUUGAGAUCGCAGCCCUAAGACGGGUGGUAAACUCCAUCCAAGGCUAAAUACAACACGAGACCGAUAGCGCACAAGUA
rnacentral:rRNA from 1 species